rnacentral:rRNA from 1 species
AUUGAACGCUGGCGGCAGGCUUAACAAAUGCAAGUCGAACGAGUGGCGGACGGGUGAGUAAUGCUUGGGAAUCUAGCUUAUGGAGGGGGAUAACUACGGGAAACUGUAGCUAAUACCGCGUACCAUCGGAUGUGCCCAGAUGGGAUUAGCUAGUAGGGGGGGUAACGGCUCACCUAGGCGACGAUCCCGAGCUGGUCUGAGAGGAUGACCAGCCACCGUGGGACUGAGACACGGCCCAGACUCCUACGGGAGGCAGCAUUGGGGAAGAUUGCACAAUGGGCGCAAGCCUGAUGCAGCCAUGCCGCGUGUAUGAAGAAGGCCUGCGGGUUGUAAAGUACUUUCAGUCGGGAGGCGUUACCGACAGAAGAAGCACCGGCUAACUCCGUGCCAGCAGCCGCGGUAAUUC